rnacentral:rRNA from 1 species
UUAUUUAAUGGCCGCGGUAUUUUGACCGUGCAAAGGUAGCAUAAUCAUUAGUUUAUUAAUUGUGAACUUGUAUGAAUGGUUUGACGAAAUAUUAACUGUCUCUUAUGUAUAUGUUGAAUUUAAAUUUUUAGUUAAAAUGCUUAAAUUUUUUAUAGGACGAGAAGACCCUAUAGAUCUUUAUUAUUUUUUAUUUAUUUUCUUUAGUUUUACUUAAUAUAUGGAAUUUUUUUGUUGGGGUGACAUGGAGAAAAUUAUAUUAAACUCUUCAUUAUUUGUUACAAUUAUUUUUGAUUUUUUGAUUUUAUUUUAAUUAUAUAAGAUUAGAUACCUUAGGGAUAACAGCGUAAUUUUUUUUGAGAGUUCAUAUUGACAUUGAAGAUUGCGACCUCGAUGUUGGAUUAAGAUUAAUAUUAGGUGCAGGUGCUUAAUUUAUAGGUCUGUUCGACCUUUAAAUUCUUACAUGAUCUGAGUCAAAAACCGGAG